ACUCCCUAGCCUGGUAAUUCCUACCCCUCCGUCCAAAACCCUUCAACUUAAACCCCUCAAAGAAUUGCGCCAAUCCAUUUUCCCCAUCUAUUCCUUCGCCUUCACGCUCCAUUACCGGACCUUCAAUGUCCCUACACUCCACACUCAAUGUCACAUUUCUUCGAAAUCUUAAUGGUCGUGAAACUGUUGAUGCUCUCCUUACCUAAUCUUCUUGAGUUUGUUAGCUUCUCUUCCGGCUCUAAACUUAGGGUAUGGGCUGUGGUCUCCUCUGUUAAUUUUACCUGGAAGUCCUUCUUUGGACUUUUAACGAGAAUAACUUCAUUAAGAAUAUUGCAUUGGAAGUUGUUUUUGCAAGGUUUCUCUCCCUCCGAAAUGAAGGCUUUUGCUUGGAAGCCUCAAUCCUAAUGGCUUGCUUCAAUUUCGUAGGCCGAAUCGUGCUUUGUCCCAAGGAAAGAGUCAUCUUAGGGCAAAGAAAGAAGAAUAAUAAAUAUAGCAAGGAAGAAACUGGGUUAAUUCUUCAAAAUAUAUCACAAGAAAGAGACAUCUUAGAGCGAGGAAAGAAGCAGGGGAAAUGUAUCAGGUUGGAAACCACAGGGCCAGUCAAAAAGGGUGAAAUUCGUAAAAAGAGCCAUCACAUUGCUCAGACAGUUGGCCUUCCUCCAUUGGUUAGUGCUCUACAAUCUUCAGCCAAACAAAAUGCUGCCAGUUUUCACUUCCCCGGUCACAACAGAGGUCAUGCUGCUCCACCUUCUUUAACUCAGCUCAUUGGUUUACAACCUUUUGUUCAUGAUUUACCAGAACUUCCUGAGCUUGACAAUCUCUUUUCUCCGGAGGGACCAAUUUUAGAGGCACAGAAGCAAGCGGCCAAACUUUUUGGAUCAUCAGAGACAUGGUUUCUUGUUGGAGGUACCACUUGUGGAAUACAAGCAGCCAUAAUGGCUACUUGUUCUCCUGGAGAAUAUCUGAUUCUCCCUCGGAAUUCUCAUAUGUCAGCUAUUUCUGCUAUGGUUUUAUCUGGGGCAAUACCUAUGUACAUUAUUCCUGAAUAUGAUUAUGAGUGGGACAUUGCUGGUGGGGUCACUCCAUCACAGGUAGAAGAAGCAAUUAAGGAAUUGGAAUUGAAAGGCUGCAAAGCAGCAGCCGUUUUGGUCACUUCUCCUACAUAUCAUGGUAUUUGCAGCAACUUGAGUGAAAUUUCCAAGCUUUGUCACUCUCAUGGAAUUCCUCUGAUUGUUGAUGAGGCUCAUGGGGCACAUUUAGGAUUUCAUCAGCAGCUGCCUCAAUCAGCCCUUCAACAAGGGGCUGAUAUAGCUGUACAAUCCACUCACAAAGUUCUGUGUUCUCUUACACAGUCAUCAAUGUUGCACUUGUCAGGGAAUAAUGUAAAUAGAGAAAGAAUAAGUAGGUGCCUUCAGACCCUCCAAAGCUCUAGCCCUAGUUACCUUCUUUUAGCAUCUCUAGAUGCAGCUAGAGCUCAGCUUUGUGAGAACCCAGAAACCAUUUUUAACAAAGCAUUGGACUUGGCUACUGAAGCUAAACUUUUGGUAAAAAAGAUUACAGGCAUCUCAGUGCUUGAUUUUCCAAGUUUCACUAGCUUUCCCGCAAUUGAUCCUCUGCGGCUUACUACUGGGUUUUGGCAGCUUGGUCUAUCUGGUUAUGAAGCAGAUGAAAUUCUAUAUUCAUAUGGAAGCAUAAUCUGUGAACUUGUUGGGAUCCGGUCUACUACUUUUGCAAUCAAUCUUGGAACUUGUCGAGAUCACAUUGAAAGGUUAGUAAGAGGAAUGGAGCACUUAUCAGCAACUUUCAUAUCUAUUCAGAAAAUUGAGGAGAAAGUAGCUUCUGAAAAUUUGGCACCUUUUGCUGAUAUUACUAUCAGCUUAAACCCAAGGGAUGCAUUCUUUUCAAGUAAAAGGAAAAUAAAUAUUGAGGAGAGUGUUGGAAAGGUUUGUGGGGAGCUGAUAUGUCCUUAUCCACCUGGGAUUCCUUUAAUGAUUCCUGGUGAAUCAAUUACUAAGGCAGCUUUAGAUUAUCUUCUGUAUGUUAAAAGCAAGGGUGCGAUCAUUACUGGUGCUUCUGAUCCUUUUCUGUCUUCGAUUGUUGUCUGUGAUGGUUAGUUCAUGGCAUACCUAUGAUAAUUCCGUAAUAGCAAGAGCAUGAGGAACAAUUUGCAAGUGGUGAUUUUAGUGCCAUGAAUAUCAACACACCAAAAGGAGACAGCAUUGUGGAGUCUUUUCCUUAAUAAAGGUGGAUGUAUAGUUUCGAAAGGUGAUAAAAGCAUUGCAGGGAGAUAAAACGCCUUACUUGAAAUUGUUUAGCGCAUUCAUUAUUGUAUUCAUAUGGGAUUGGAGGUUUAGUUUGAUGUAAACCGAGCAUCUGUGCGUAAAAUAUUCAACAAGAGAAGGUAUUGCUCGGCCGGGAGGUGAUCAUGAUCGCGUAAAUGACUUUACUAUCUACUAUAUGUGUCAUUAUAUUGGUAGACCCAAAACAUACAUUAUUAGAGUUUGUUGAGCCCAAAAAUGUACGUGAUUGGAUCUGUUAGAAAUUAAAAAUUUAGUUGUGGAGCCAUCGUGGAAAAUAUUUUUACGUCAAUAUGUAUUCAUCAUUGUAUGUAGUUCUUUCCAGUAAAGGAAAUUAUUAGUAGAUGUGGGGAAGGUAAUAAAAAGUCUGUCUUGAUCAA